rnacentral:rRNA from 1 species
UAUUUCCCGCUUUUAAAGGCGNUAAUGGUUUAUUUUAGUUAUUGUUUCAUUAUUAUUAAUAAUAGGCUGUUGGUAGUGAAAUGUUAUUCGUCUUUAGUGGUUUCUGGUUUUUCAGGNAAUGAAUUUAAUUCAUGCACUUUAUUUAAUUUUUACUUUUUGUUUAUUUUUUUUAAUUUAGUGUUAAGAUUAAGGGGGAUUAGCUCCUUAUUUUAUUUUUAUAAUUUUGUUCAUUAUUUAGUUUUGUGGAUUUUAUGGUGAUUUUCAAUUUGAUUAUGUUAAAAUUUUAUUUUUGUUGUUGUUUAUUUUUAUUGUGAUUUAAAAUUUUUAUUGGAAUGUUUUCUUUAAUUGUUUUUGAAUGGUAAUUAUUGUGUAAUUAGUAAAUUUUGUUUUAUGAUGUUUAUAAAUUGUUAAAUUCUUUUGAGGAACUAGGCAAAAGGUUUCAUGUCCGCCUGUUUAACAAAAACAUCUUUUCUUGUUAGUUUUUGAAGUAUGGCCUGCCCACUGACUUUUUGUUGAAGGGCCGCGGUAUUUUGACCGUGCAAAGGUAGCAUAAUCAUUAGUUCUUUAAUUGUGAUCUGGUAUGAAUGGCUUGACGAGACAUGUACUGUCUUAAUUUUAUGAAUAGUUGAUUGAAUUUGGUUUUUGAGUUAAAAUUCUUAAAUGUUUUUAUGGGACGAGAAGACCCUAUAGAGUUUAACAUUUAAUUCUAUUUAUUGUUUUUGUUUGUUUUAUUAUUUAAAUAGAUUAAUGUGUUUUGUUGGGGUGAUGGGAGGGAUUAAUUUAACNCCNCUUUAUUUUGUAUAUUUAUUUAUAUUUUUUUGAU